GGUUCAGUGGUGUAGUCGGUUAUCACACCUGUCUAACAUGCGCUCCUUUGCGAGUGUUCACAGGUGGUCCCCGGUUCGAAUCCGGGCUGAAUCA